rnacentral:rRNA from 1 species
UAACACAUGCAAGUCGAGGGGCAGCAUGGUCUUAGCUUGCUAAGGCCGAUGGCGACCGGCGCACGGGUGAGUAACACGUAUCCAACCUGCCGUCUACUCUUGGACAGCCUUCUGAAAGGAAGAUUAAUACAAGAUGGCAUCAUGAGUCCGCAUGUUCACAUGAUUAAAGGUAUUCCGGUAGACGAUGGGGAUGCGUUCCAUUAGAUAGUAGGCGGGGUAACGGCCCACCUAGUCUUCGAUGGAUAGGGGUUCUGAGAGGAAGGUCCCCCACAUUGGAACUGAGACACGGUCCAAACUCCUACGGGAGGCAGCAGUGAGGAAUAUUGGUCAAUGGGCGAGAGCCUGAACCAGCCAAGUAGCGUGAAGGAUGACUGCCCUAUGGGUUGUAAACUUCUUUUAUAAAGGAAUAAAGUCGGGUAUGGAUACCCGUUUGCAUGUACUUUAUGAAUAAGGAUCGGCUAACUCCGUGCCAGCAGCCGCGGUAAUACGGAGGAUCCGAGCGUUAUCCGGAUUUAUUGGGUUUAAAGGGAGCGUAGAUGGAUGUUUAAGUCAGUUGUGAAAGUUUGCGGCUCAACCGUAAAAUUGCAGUUGAUACUGGAUAUCUUGAGUGCAGUUGAGGCAGGCGGAAUUCGUGGUGUAGCGGUGAAAUGCUUAGAUAUCACGAAGAACUCCGAUUGCGAAGGCAGCCUGCUAAGCUGCAACUGACAUUGAGGCUCG